GCAAAGAAUAGUUUAGUUUAGAAUCCUAGCUUUGGGAGUUAGGGGUGG
rnacentral:tRNA from 1 species